UACGGGGGGGGCAAGCGUUGUUCGGAAUUACUGGGCGUAAAGGGUUCGUAGGUGGCCAACUAAGUCAGACGUGAAAUCCCUCAGCUUAACUGGGGAACUGCGUGUGAUACUGGAUGGCUUGGAUUUGGGAGAGGGAUGCGGAAUUCCAGGUGUAGCGGUGAAAUGCGUAGAUAUCUGGAGGAACACCGGUGGCGAAGGCGGCAUCCUGGACCAAUAUUGACGCUGAGGAGCGAAAGCUAGGGGAGCAAACGGG
rnacentral:rRNA from 1 species